rnacentral:lncRNA from 1 species
GUCCAGUGUAGCAGUCAUGCUUAGAACACACUAUUUGCAAGACAGACAAACGUUACUGCUGCACCCAUCAGUUGAAGGACAGGUAUACAUAACUUGUUAUCCUUAGCAUGGCUGCAGAUGUUUGAAAUUAAAUAUGAGGAUGCAUAAGGCUUCCAGGAGAGACAUAAAACUCUCAAAAUUUAAGAGCGAUAUUCAGGAAUGUAGUCAGCACAUAUAAAUCAGUUUUGAUCAUUACCAACCACAUUUUGAAAUUAUCCUAGAGGUAAGUACGCAUAUGCUGUUGCAGAAUCCAAUUUUCUUCAAUUUUUUUCCACAUUUUUCUUAGGAACAAAAAUCAAAUAUAUGAGGUUUACUACAGGGCUUAAAUACUGUUAGAAAAGGGUUAACUGCUCUGUCCUGCUCUGUGUCAUGUGAUCUACAAGGAAAGAGUUAACUCUUCUUCCUGGAAGCCAGGAACUGAUCACUUUGAGAGGCCUAAACAGAGGCCUAAGCGCUUUUGUGGGAUGUGUUAUGAAAAACAGAUUAUGUGCCAAAAUACCAAAUGUCCUGUUCUGAGCAGAUAUGAAGGAUGAAAAUAAACAGAACAUAAAGGACGGGAGAGUUGAAAGAAUAAAAGUCAGGACCAGAAAGAGAAUGAGGAAAAUCCAGAUAAGUCCGUUCCCUGCUGAACAAGAUGUCUGUCAGUUUCUCCAGCACCCAGCUUGA